rnacentral:rRNA from 1 species
UACGUAGGCAGCGAGCGUUGUUCGGAGUUACUGGGCGUAAAGCGUGCGUAGGCGGUGUUCCAAGUCUGUUGUGAAAUCUCCCGGCUUAACUGGGAGGGUGCGGCGGAAACUGGAACGCUGGAGUAUGGGAGAGGUAAGCGGAAUUCCUGGUGUAGCGGUGAAAUGCGUAGAUAUCAGGAGGAACACCUGCGGUGUAGACGGCUUACUGGACCAUAACUGACGCUGAGGCACGAAAGCGUGGGUAGCAAACAGG